GACGAACCGUGCGAACGUUGUUCGGAAUCACUGGGCUUAAAGGGCGCGUAGGCGGGCGACCAAGUCAGGGGUGAAAUCCUCCGGCUCAACCGGAGAACAGCCUUUGAUACUGGUCACCUCGAGGGAGGUAGGGGCAUGUGGAACUUCCGGUGGAGCGGUGAAAUGCGUAGAUAUCGGAAGGAAUGCCGGUGGCGAAAGCGACGUGCUGGACCUCUUCUGACGCUGAGGCGCGAAAGCUAGGGGAGCAAACGGG
rnacentral:rRNA from 1 species